rnacentral:tRNA from 1 species
CCGUGGUGGCGGGAUCGCGCCCGUUCUCCGGGGACGGCCCGGACGCGCGCGGCGGAUGGUGAUCCCGCGCUGACGCGGGAGCCGCGGGCC